CGUCCGCCAUGGGCGCAGCAGUGGGAAGGGCACAGAGCAGAUCGUCUCGACUGCGAUCGCACAGCACGUGAUGGACAGCCGGUGGAUCAGGCCCAGCCAGAGUGCGCUCGUGAAAGGCAGGUCCUGCCUGAGCAACCUCACCUGCUUCUAUGAGCAGGGGACGGUACAGGCUGGACUGUAGUAAAGCCUUGGAUUGUCUCCCACAGCGUUCUCCUGCAGAAGCAGCGGCCCAUGGACAGGUGCUCUCUCUUCACACUGCUUACAUGAUUUAUGGAUUCUAGCCCAAUUAAAAAUGUCGUAUGUUGACAAAGGCUUCUUUGAACUGCACAGGGCAGUGACACUUGCAGCUCAAGACUGCUGGGAAAUAAAGGUAAACUUUUUUACUUACUUUGUGUUAGCUGGCUUAUUUCCACAAAAGAGAAGGAAGUACUCAUCUCCUGGAGUGUUG
rnacentral:lncRNA from 1 species